CUGGGUGCUGUAUGCAACUGAUGAAUCACUGAAUUCUACCUCUGAAACUAAAAAAAAAAAAGAAGCUUUAGUGGUAUUAUAAAAAUAGUUUUGAUCAUGUAGACCUCCUGAAAAGGUCUCAGAUACCACAAAAGGUCCCUAGACCACCCUGAGUCUAAUUGUUUUUCUUGGGUUUAGUCAGAUCUCUUGAGAAUUGGGUAUCUGGUUGCAUCAGUUCCAACAGUCGCUUGUAGUGAACUGUGUUCCGUCAUGUCCACAUUAAGGGAGAUGACCAGGGGAGGAAGAUACAGGAUUUGUUAUUGCUCUUACUAAAAUGAAGUUGCAGCAGAAAUGCACUUGUAGAUUCACCAUUAGCCAUGUACCAGAAUGUUCACAGCAGCCAAAUGCUCAUCCACAGUACAAUGGAUAAAUAAGCUGUGAAAUAUUCACAUGAUGGGAUACGAUACAGCAAUGAGAAUGAACACUACAAUGAAUCCCACAAAUAGUGCUGAAUAAACGAAGCCAGCUGCAAUAAUACUUUUAGAUUCCAUUUAGAUGAAUAAAAACGGUAAAUUAAGCCAUACAGUUAUAAGUCAGGACGGCGGCUACUCUUGGGAAGGGGGAGGGUUAGUAACCGGGAAGUGAUACAGGCCAUCUUCACGGUGCUGAUAGGUUUGAUUUUUUUGAUCUGGGUGCAGGUUCCAUAGGUGUAUCGAGUUUUUGGCUACUUCCCUGAGCUGUAUAAAUUCACAUUCUUUUCUAAAUGUACAUCAUACUUAAGGUUUUUUUUUUUUUUUUUUAAAGGUGCAGAGAUUGGCUCUAGAAGGAAAAGAAGUUGAAUCUGAUUUAGAAGAAUAAGAAGUGGAAUCAGGAAACUUUGCAGAGAACCCUGCUGUUCAGUAUAUAAAGUGUAUAUAAAGUGCCCAGCAAAUUCCUGGGCCAGCAGAGGCCAGAUUAAUGAGAGCUGUUAUCACUGGCUGAGCAGCUGACAUUCCAACAGAGCUAUGAAGAACGCCUGGGAUUCAGACACGCAGUGAGUGACAGAGGUUCGCGAUGGAUUGGUACUCAGAAACAGAAGCUGAGCUUCGCCCCGGUGAUGAAGAGAGAAUGAUCACCAUGAACAUCAGUGAACUUGGCACAGCCUGUCCCACCAGCCCUGGCCUCCUGGAAUGUUUCCAGCCAAGGAAAGGGAAGACAAAGAAGGGUAGUUGGUUCUCCAGUGUCUAAAAUGCCGAACACAAUUACAUAAACAUAGUAGGUGUUGUGGGCUGAAUCGUGUCCCCUCAGAAUCCGUAUGUUGAAGUUUUAACCCCCAACACCUCAGAAGGUGACUGUAUUUGGAGACCGGGUGGGUCUGAGAGAGAUGAUUAAGAUAAAACGAGGACAUCAGGGUGGCUCCUAAUCCAGUGUGACUGGUGUCCUUAGAAGUAGUGGAGAUAAAGACACUGACUCACAGGGAGGGAAGACUGGAGACACAGGAAGAAUUCGCCAUCUACAAGCUGAGGAGAGAGGCCUCAGAAGAAGCCAGGCCUGCUCAUAAGCUUGAUCUCGGACUUCUAGGGUCCUGAACUGUGAGGAAAUCCAUUUUGGUUGUUGAAGCCACCAAUCUGUGGCAAACUCAUGCAGUGGCUCCACAGUAAACGUCUGCCGAGUGUCGUUACAUCAUCUCUUGUGAAUAUACUUCUCUCAAACUAAAUUUCUUUAUCGUGUAGGAUCAUGGCCUUACCUUGAGGCUGAACUUCCUCCAAGGUUCACCCCUGCCUACCUUCCCAUACUGCUCAUCCACACGACCCUCCAUUCUAGCCUGCUGAUCUACUCAUGCCCCUCAGAAUGCCGCUAGUGCCUCCCUGCCCCUCCCCAUCCCUCUGCCCUCCUCAGCUCCCUGGGGAACACCCUCUUCUCCGUCACCUAUCUAACACCACAGUAAUUUCCAGACCUAUUUAAACUGUGUCCCCAUCCCGCGCCCCCCCCCCCCCCCGCCCCAGGCUUCCUUGACCUUUACUUUCCCUUUGGCUUCUUAGGGGUUUACACCAUGCAUGUGGCAUAGAGUGGCGUGACUCCCUUGGAUGGUGAUUUUAUCACCAGCAGAUGGCAACUCCCACCUUCAGCUCGGGUUAAAACCCUUGGCAUCAUCCUUGCCUCCUCUCUUUUCCUUCAUCCCUAACAGUCAACCUGACAGGAAACCCUCUCCAAACACCUCCAGACUCUGAAACCUUCUCAUCCUCUCUACUGUUAUAAUCAGUGUUUAAGCCACCAUCUGCCCUUGCCUGGAUGCUGAUGACAGCCUCCUAACAGAACUGUCAGCUUCUAUCUUUGUCCCCUGUGGUGUGCAGAUCCUAAGAUGGCCCUGUGUGCUCCCCUCCUGAGUGUGAGCAGGACGUGAAGAUACGGUGGAUGGCAUGCCUGUUGAUGUUCAAGGAUAUCUUGGUUGGUCCUUACCUAAUAGCUCUUUAGAGGGACUGAGACCUUCCCAAAGGAAUAGAUUUGAAGUGUAAGGGAGAUUCCCCUUCUGACCUUGAAGGAGCAAACAGCCGUGUCUGCUAACUGUCUGUGGAAGGACUCACAUGGUGAGGACUUGAGAGCGGCCUCCGGGCCAAGAGUCUUUGCCAGCCCACAACUGGCAGGAAAAUGGGAUCUUGGUUCUGUGGCCACAAGGAUACGAACUCUGCCAACAACCAGUGAGCCUGGGAGAGGACCCAGAGCUUCCGAUGAGAUCAUAACCCCGAAGGACACCUUGCUUUCAGCCUGGUGGGACCCUAAGCAGAAGACCCAGCUGACCCAUACCUGGACUACUGACCCAGGAAACUGACACAAUAAACUUACACUGUU